ensembl:misc_RNA 7SK 7SK RNA
GGAUGUGAAGGUGAUCUGGCUGUGACAUCUGACACCCCACUGCUUGCCAGGGUUGAUUGGGCUGAUCUGGCUUUCUAGGUGGAUGUCCCCUUCCUUCCUCACCACUCCAUGUGUGUCCCUCCAGAAGCUGUGUGCUCUGUCGAUGAUGACAACCUUCCCCAAAUUGAGGAGGAACCGUCUUCGGUCAAGAGUAUAUGAGUAGCUGUGCUCCCAUGCUAGAACCUCCAAACAAGCUUUCCAGGUCCAUUGGGUUUUCCUUUACUGUUGGUUUUUUUUCGAGACAGGGUUUAUCUGUAGCUUUGCAGGCUGUCCUGGAACUAACUCCUGUAGACCUUGUUG